GCCCAAAUGGCAAGAUGGAAAAGGGCAGCAAGGCCAUGGAGGAGAAAUGAGUGGAGUCACCAGAAAGCCUGGGAGAUGUGAAGGUCCUCCUCAGUGGGCAGCCUGACUCGGUCACAUACGACACCCCACAAAGAGCUUGCAGGUUUGGUGACAUAGUUUCCUCCUCCCAGCUCAAGCCUAGACAUGAGCCAGGAUGUGUCACUGUCUUGCUCUAAGUGGUUUAUGUUUCUCCUUAAUCAGUGAAAAUGUUACCUACCUAAAUGAGAAUGAGGAACAAACUGUACCUAUCACCAGAAAAGCUCCCUAGAAAACAGUUUCCAAACAUAUGCAUGAGAACGCUGGUCUAGUUUUCAGAAGAGUUUCAGGCUGAUUGGCAAACCAUUCCACCCGUGAAGCAAAGUUGAUCCCAAAUUCCUGUCCGCUCCUGUGAAUCCCAGCAGCUAGACUUAAGACUGGAAUGCUGAGGAGAUGGGGGAUCUCCCCUUUGAGAUGGACAAGGACUGGCUGAACCCUUGGAGACAAGCUCCAGCCAGCAUACCCUACGAUUCAGUGGAGCACGAGGUGGCCUUUUCCACAGUCUCCUCAAAUG